rfam:Ailuropoda melanoleuca scaffold844_2, whole genome shotgun sequence.
ACCUGGCUGGCUCAGUCGGUGGAGCAUGUGGCUCUUGAUCUCAGGGUUGUGAGUUUGAGUCCCAUGUUGGGUG